GUCUGACAAAUCACAGGCCGCCCCGGGCCCAGCUCUGUACAGAGACGGUGAGACUUGGGUCAAGGCUCACCAAUCUCAGCGACAGAGCCGUGGUCUUGGCCUUCAGUCCCUGUCGGUCCUCUCCUCCCCUGUGUGGAAUGUAGCUCCAUCGAGUCCCUAUGCCAUAUUCACACGGUGGGGUUGUUUGCGUGUCUGACUCUGCCCACUCCCCGCCCCCAGGCUGUCAGCUCCCCUUGGCAGGAAGCCAACCCCAAAGGUCCACAAAAGUCACUCUCUGGCCCAUGGCUCAUGCAAAUGCCCUCUGGACCAUUGGUGGGAGACACCAGGAGCCCUUCUGCAGGUGGGUCUGUCUCAUGCUGGCCACUGGCAAAGCCUGGCUGCCAGUGAUCCAGGGAACCAUGGAGAAGGCAGAGCUAAGGCAGCUGGAAGGAAUUUCCAUUUGUCUGUUCUUGCCAGGCCUGCUUCUGCUUUAUUUCAGCAAGGGGCUCAGUGCCUCAGAAACGUCCUGCCAAACAUUCUUGUUUUCAAAGAAGAUGGUGAGUCCCUUACUUCCCAGCCAGAUUUGUUUAUUAUAACUAUGUCAGCACAUCCCCCUCCUCCAUUCACUAGUCACCCCCUUUAUGAUCCUCCUUUCUUAGGCUGUGUAAAUGGCCUAGGAACGAAGGAAACUUCGUUUCUCUCUGAUGUCACACUGAGCUGGAGAUAUCUGUGCUGAGAGUUAGAGACCUGCACUGAAAGGUGGUUUUGAGACAGUUAGGGACCAUGGGACCAAGCGCCAAGUGAAAAACAUUGUGUAUCUAGAGCACUUUCUGUUGGCUGUUCUUGUUAAACCGCGAGCCUUACAGAGCAGAACCAGAGGACCCCAGCUCCAAAAAGCACCAAUGAGCUGCCUGAGUUGUCUGCCAAUAUUGACCAAUAAGGACGAGACCUUCCAACCAAUCAGGAUGCGGCCCUUUGAGCCAAUCAGAAUAAGGUUCCUCCAACCAAUCAGGAUGAGGCUCCCCCCCCCCCCCGCCCCCUUUCAUAUUGGACCCGAGUGAGAACCUGAGCGGGAACUUUCUGUAUGAAGAUUUAGAAAGUGAGGUUCAGAGAAUUCCAAGAUCACCUGGAGCCUAAAGGGGGAAUUUCAGAAAAUUGUACCAAAUAUGAAUCUUAAGAAAUGAACAUUUGAAUCCAGUGUGUGGUUGAAAGGAACCCUGGAGGAGAGGUGGUGGCAGCUGGAAAGAAAAGACCAUGCCCCCUGGGUCUGUAGGAAGAAAGCUGCAGGGACUCCCCAGAGAGAGCUAAAGCAGAAAGCAUCCUCAAGGCCCUGUCCCCUCCAGGUGUAUCCUGGGGCCUCCAGUCCGUGUCAUAGCAGGUGCAGGAGCUACCAGCGUCCCUCCUCCUUCCUGGCUGAGCAGAGUCCACGGUAUCUCCAGCUCGCAGAAGACCUGUCUUUGAAAGCACCUGUGCAUUUGCUUGCCUGCUUUGGAUCGCUUAAGGCAGGCUUGAGUGGCCUUUCAAUCGGUUAGUUUUGUGGCUGGUUUAUUCCUCUGGCAGGGUAAGAGGAUUUCACUUAGCUGUGUAAAGGAAGAAAGGCAUUUCGGGGGCCAAGUGCUUGGAGCAGCAAACGUCAGGGCAGGCUGAAGGACGCUGAAGUUUCCCACCGACCUCAGAAGCCCUCUUGAGCAACUUACUCUGCAGGUUUGGUGCAAACAUUGUUUUAUUUUGUUUUCCACUCAGCCAGAUAUUCACAAUCUGUUUCCCCCACCUGGAAAGUUGCAUAGUCUGACAGGCACAAGGGAUUUAAGAGAUUCCUAGCUGGUGCUGCUACUGUGGAUUAGCAGCUGGGCAGAAAGGACGGUUGGCCUCUUUGAUGUGCCUUUACGAGUACAUAGAAAUGCAGAACUGAGACAAUUUCCUGGAUCAUUCUAAUAAAUAUGAACUAUACUUGCCCAAAGUAUUUUGGGUCAUAAUUUUCAGACAGAGACCAAAGUGAUGCAUGUCUUGAUUAUCUCAGUUCUUUAUGACAGGCCCGGAGAAACCUAGUCUAAGGAUUUAACUUAGCAGCCAUUUAUUGAUUUUCUGAUGCACAAGAGAAAGGGUCUGGACAGGUCAGCACUUCUAUUACAAAGACAAGUAAGACCUGGUCUUGAAUCUCACGUGGUUUCUGGUUUUAGUGGAGGUGGGUGGGGUGAGACGUAUACAGCCUGCUCACUUUAAGAAAAUCCUGUCUUGGGGCCCCGGGGUGGCUCAGUCGGUUAAGCUUCCUACUCCUUGUUUCAGCUCAGGUCAUGAUCUCACCGUUUGUGAGUUCAAGCCCCGUGUUGAGCUCUGUGCUGCCAGCGCAGAGCCUGCCUGGGAUUCUCUCUCUCCUUCUCUCUCUGCUCCUCCCCACCUUGUGCUGUCUCUGUCUCUCUCAAAAUAAAUAAAAAUAAACUUAAAAAAAAAAAAAAAAGAAAAUCCUGUCUUAACUCUGCCCCCUACUCCGUUGCUUCACAGACUGAUUUCUAGAAAGAUUGGUUCA